GACCCCGGACCCUUGACGGACGGCGCGCGCCCCGCGCCCCGCGCCCCGUCCCCACCCGCCGGGCGCGCGCAGGCUCCCGCGCCCGCUCAGGCUGGCGGCGGCGGCGGCGGCGGGGAUUGUUUUUGUUGUCGCUGAGGCCGGAAGAGCCGCGGGAGCCGGGUCCCUGUCUCCGGGCCGGGCGCCACCGCCGCAGCCCCCCGCCCAGCGCCCGCGUCCCCGCGGCGCCCCUUCUCAGCGCCAAGAUUCCGGAGAUCAAACGCUCCGAGGCGGCGGCGGGGCCCGGAGCGGGAGGCGCCGGGGACCCGGGCGAGGCGGCCCCCGCCGCCGCCAUGGAGGCGCUGGGACCAGGACCUCCAACCAGCCUGUUCCAGCCACCUCGUCGUCCUGGCCUUGGAACUGUUGGAAAACCAAUUCGACUGUUAGCCAAUCAUUUUCAGGUUCAGAUUCCUAAAAUAGAUGUGUAUCACUAUGAUGUGGAUAUUAAACCAGAAAAACGGCCUCGUAGAGUCAACAGGGAGGUAGUAGAUACAAUGGUGCGGCACUUCAAGAUGCAGAUAUUUGGUGAUCGGCAGCCUGGCUAUGAUGGCAAAAGAAACAUGUACACAGCACAUCCACUGCCAAUUGGACGGGAUAGGGUUGAUAUGGAAGUGACCCUUCCGGGUGAGGGUAAAGACCAAACCUUUAAAGUGUCUGUUCAGUGGGUGUCCGUUGUGAGCCUUCAGAUGCUUUUAGAAGCUUUAGCUGGGCAUUUGAAUGAAGUCCCAGAUGACUCAGUACAAGCACUUGAUGUUAUUACAAGACAUCUUCCCUCCAUGAGGUACACUCCAGUGGGCCGUUCCUUUUUCUCACCUCCGGAAGGUUACUACCAUCCCCUGGGAGGGGGCAGGGAAGUUUGGUUUGGCUUUCAUCAGUCUGUGAGACCUGCCAUGUGGAAUAUGAUGCUCAAUAUUGAUGUAUCUGCAACUGCUUUCUACCGGGCUCAGCCUAUCAUUGAGUUCAUGUGUGAAGUUUUAGACAUUCAGAAUAUCAACGAACAGACCAAACCUCUAACAGACUCCCAGCGUGUCAAGUUUACCAAAGAAAUCAGAGGUCUUAAAGUUGAGGUGACUCACUGUGGACAGAUGAAGCGAAAAUACCGAGUUUGUAAUGUGACUAGACGGCCAGCCAGUCAUCAAACUUUUCCUUUACAGCUAGAAAAUGGUCAAGCCAUGGAAUGUACUGUAGCUCAAUAUUUUAAGCAAAAGUAUAGCCUGCAGCUGAAAUAUCCUCAUCUUCCCUGUCUCCAAGUGGGACAAGAACAAAAGCAUACAUACUUGCCACUUGAGGUCUGUAAUAUAGUGGCUGGACAGCGAUGUAUAAAGAAACUUACAGACAAUCAGACUUCCACGAUGAUCAAAGCCACAGCAAGAUCUGCUCCUGACCGACAGGAAGAAAUCAGUAGACUGGUGAAGAGUAACAGCAUGGUGGGUGGACCUGAUCCAUACCUUAAAGAAUUUGGUAUUGUUGUCCACAAUGAAAUGACAGAGCUCACAGGCAGGGUACUUCCAGCACCAAUGCUACAGUAUGGAGGCCGGAAUAAAACAGUAGCCACACCCAACCAGGGUGUCUGGGACAUGCGAGGAAAGCAGUUUUAUGCUGGCAUUGAAAUUAAAGUUUGGGCAGUUGCUUGUUUUGCGCCUCAGAAACAAUGUAGGGAAGAUUUACUAAAGAGUUUCACUGACCAGCUCCGUAAAAUCUCUAAGGAUGCAGGAAUGCCCAUCCAGGGUCAGCCAUGUUUCUGCAAGUAUGCACAAGGUGCAGACAGCGUGGAGCCCAUGUUUAAACAUCUAAAAAUGACAUAUGUGGGCCUACAGCUAAUAGUGGUGAUCUUGCCUGGGAAGACGCCAGUAUAUGCGGAGGUGAAACGUGUUGGAGAUACCCUCCUGGGUAUGGCCACACAGUGUGUCCAGGUAAAGAAUGUAGUGAAGACCUCACCCCAAACCCUUUCCAACCUUUGCCUGAAGAUAAAUGCAAAGCUGGGAGGAAUUAACAACGUUCUUGUACCUCAUCAAAGGCCAUCGGUAUUCCAGCAGCCUGUCAUCUUCCUGGGAGCAGAUGUCACCCACCCCCCUGCAGGGGAUGGGAAGAAGCCUUCCAUCGCUGCUGUCGUUGGCAGUAUGGAUGGCCACCCCAGCCGGUACUGUGCCACUGUUCGGGUGCAGACCUCCCGCCAAGAGGUCUCCCAGGAGCUCCUCUAUAGUCAGGAGGUGAUCCAGGACCUCACUACCAUGGUUCGAGAGCUGCUGAUCCAGUUCUACAAGUCCACACGCUUCAAACCUACACGGAUCAUCUACUACCGUGGAGGGGUAUCCGAGGGACAAAUGAAGCAGGUAGCUUGGCCAGAACUAAUAGCAAUUCGAAAGGCAUGUAUUAGCUUGGAAGAAGAUUACCGGCCAGGAAUAACUUACAUUGUGGUACAGAAAAGACAUCACACACGACUCUUCUGUGCGGAGAAAGCAGAAAGGGUGGGUAAAAGUGGCAAUGUACCAGCAGGCACUACCGUGGAUAGCACCAUCACACAUCCAUCCGAAUUUGACUUUUACCUCUGUAGUCACGCAGGAAUUCAGGGAACCAGUCGUCCUUCACAUUACCAGGUCUUGUGGGAUGACAACUGCUUCACUGCAGACGAGCUCCAGCUACUGACUUACCAGCUAUGCCACACCUAUGUGCGGUGCACACGCUCAGUCUCUAUUCCAGCCCCUGCGUACUAUGCCCGGCUUGUAGCAUUCCGAGCAAGGUAUCAUCUGGUGGAUAAAGAUCAUGACAGAGCCAAAUUUUCAGUUCUGCUCAGGUCCUAGGCAGCCUCAGAUGGUGGCCAGCACAGUACCCUGGCUCCAAUCAGAAGAGUCACAGGCCUGUGGAUUCCACUUUAUACAAGGGGAAGACUUAACAGUCCACUUUGCUUUCAUAGUUCACUGGAAGAAUGCAUUGGAGUGAACCUGGGGUUUUACAUGGGAGAGGAGUGCAGAAGGCAGUCACGUGUCAGGACAGAGCAACGGCCGAGAUCCUCAAGCCUUGGCUAAAGCUGUGCAAAUCCACCACGAUACCCAGCACACAAUGUAUUUUGCCUGAGAGUCUCAGAAGAACUCAACCAAUUUGGCACCCCGUGCAGCCUCAAAAUGUUUCACACGCCUACCAGCAUACUAGAGGGAGCCAAGCUGACUUCAGUUUGUCUUCUACCAGCAGCUCAGAAUAGUUGCACUGAAUAAAUACUUCGCAGCACUGUCUGAUGCGUCAACAAAAUUGAGCCAUUUUUUAAAAAGUAAUAGAUACUCAUAGAUUGUCUUUUUCCGAUGCACUGGACCGAAUUUUUUACCUCAACAUGCUGCUCAACCUGAACUUUCUAAAGGACUUUACAAGAAGGGUUUCUAUGGAAUAUUUUGUUAGCUGGGGUGUUCACCGCAUCCCUCUUGUCUUGUGAGAGAAGAUUGUUCCUUUUUUCUGUGUUCAUCGAGUGGGCUGUAUGUAUCAGUGGGAGAGGAAAUCCAGUCUACUUCAGUUUAGCAUAACUACUUAAUUGUGUGGGUCCAUUGACUUUUUAGUGGAGAUUUCCAAUUUCGCCACUGUAAAUGCCUUUAACGAGCAGUGAUUCCCCCCCCCCCAAGUUUUAUUAGUUUUACUACUUUAUCUUACUGAUCUGUACAGACUUGUGCUGGUGCAAGUACAGGCUGCUGCCGGGCAAUUGCACUAUAUUUGGCCCCAGUUUCAAAUAGGCAGUUCUCUUAUCUGGGUGACUCUUGUGAAUGUGUAAUACAGACAGAUGUAGUACAUGUCACAGUAACAGAUAACACUGCCAUAAUAAAAAGUACCCAUGUUUCUCCCCCUCCCCCUUUGGAAAAAAAAUUAGGUUUUAGAAUUUUUCAAACUUUGCAAAAGUGCCCAUUUUAUGCUGCUGUCUGGUGUGUCAGAUCUAAAUGACUUUUAAACUCUUCUCACAAAAAGUUAACUUUGGCAAUAAACGUUUUUUAAGGUCCUUCACUUCCCCCACCCGCACUGACAAUGAGUUUUUCUAGAUGAAAUUUUGGUAUGAUUUUUAUCAGCUAUUUCUUAUAGAUCAUAAUCUGGCAAUUCCUGAAUCAGUUAAAAAAUAGAUAUUUCCAUGCCUUUUUAAGGAAUUAUUUUUUAUCUCUUUUAUAUCAUAGUUGGUGUCCUGUCACUUUGUUUUAAAAUAAGAUAGAACCAGGAUGCUUCCUUACUGGAUAGGCUUUGCCAGUCUUUAAGGUACAUUAAGUGAUGCUGCAACUUGCAAAAAUGUACUAACAUUACAUUUUUUUCCCUGGGAAUCAAGGUUACUUGUGCUGAUCUUUCGACCUGAAAUGUUCUUGGUGAAGUUUCCUUCCUUUGAGUCAAGUAAAACUGCAUACAAAGAUUUUUCUUAAUAGAUUCUGGAUUCCAUUCACAAGGAGGCAGGAUUCUUUUCUUGUUCAAAGGGAGUUGAUCUAAAGCAAGCAUCAGUUACAAAGUAGGGGGAAGUGUAUUUUGUAUUUAGUGUAGAUAAUAUUUUGUGAAUGGACAACAGUUACAUAGAGUCUUGGUAGUUCCAGCCGUGUUGCCCAGCCCAGAUUUCACUGACUUGUAAUUCUCUAUCCUGGAACCUCAGGAGUGAGAGCUGGAAAAGGGGAUAAAAGGCCCAGAGCCACACUCCCCAUGGAUGAGGAAGGUGCUGGCGAAAAGAGGUAGAUACAAUGUGGUAAACUGAAUUUGCCACUUCAGUCUGGAAACACUGGAUCUGAUAGUGAAGGGUGUUUGCUUGAACUCAUUAGCCGGUCCAAAUCUUUUAAACUAGCCUUCUCAAAAUCCCAGCAAUAUAAAGCCCUGUUUUUCUUCAGUCUUUUAAACAAGCUUGUACAUACUUUGAAGUUUACAUUUCUGUGUGCCGUUGAUCAGCGGCACUGUUUGCUGGGACUGGUCUCUGAGACUUUGGUAAUGUAUAUUAAGUCCUGUAGCUCUUUAAGAUGGGUGCAGACAUCUUAAUUCUCUGCAUAUAGUGAGAUGAAGGCAAGCUCUGUAAUUGAGGCACAACGUAGUGACGAGAUGGGAGAUCUUAAUUUCUUAAGAUUUUUCUUUUUUGCAAAUACCUCACUUGGAUUCUACAAAUCAGGACAUGUUGGUGAGGGACUGGCUUCUGCUUUUAUUCACGUGUGAUCAUGGAGAGCACAGAAUAUACCCUUCAGCAUGGCCACCCUGGACCCAAGAGGAGGAAAACCAAACUUGUUUGGAAAAGGACUCGCUGAAAUCCAGGACGUGAAGAACUCUUGGUGGCUGGCUGGCUGGCCAGCAGGCACCACACCUGCACUUGAGUGCCUCGGGCAUGCUUGUUAAUGCACAGAAGAAGCUCCACUUGUCACCAUCUCCUGGCAUGAACGGAACAGGGAGCGAGGCAGAGGGCCUGGAAGCCCUGAUUCACUUGCCUGCAGUUGGCCUAUAUGCUCAACCUUGAACUCUGCAGUUUGUACGACCUCAAUCAGUCCUAGCACACUGGGGCAAAUGAGUGUGGUGGUGGGGGAAAAGCCGGGAGGCCUAUUUUUAUAGGAAACCAGUACCUUUAAUGGUGCAAGGCUGUCUGUCAUUUUGGAUGAAAGGAAAGAAAUAUGGAAGAACUGGGAUUAUU